rnacentral:tRNA from 1 species
GGGGCCUUGGCUUCAGCUGGGAGAGCGCCUGCCUUGCACGCAGGAGGUCAGCGUUUGAUCCCGCUAGGCUCCA